GCGAAUAUGGUGUCAACGGCUAGCAUAACUGGCUUCCACCCAGUAGGUUCGGGUUCGAAUCCCGAUAUUCGCUCCA
rnacentral:tRNA from 1 species